CGAAAGCCUGACGGAGCAACGCCGCGUGUGGGAAGAAGGCUCUUGGGCUGUCAACCACUUUUCUCAGGGAAGAAGUUCUGACGGUACCUGAGGAAUCAGCCUCGGCUAACUCCGUGCCAGCAGCCGCGGUAAUACGGAGGAUGCAAGCGUUAUCCGGAAUUAUUGGGCGUAAAGCGUCCGCAGGUGGCUAGUCAAGUCUGCUGUCAAAGACCAGGGCUUAACCCUGGGCCGGCAGUGGAAACUGGUUAGCUGGAGUACGGUAGGGGUAGAGGGAAUUCCUGGUGUAGCGGUGAAAUGCGUAGAUAUCAGGAAGAACACCGGUGGCGAAAGCGCUCUACUGGGCCGUGACUGACACUGAGGGACGAAAGCUAAGGUAGCG
rnacentral:rRNA from 1 species